rnacentral:lncRNA from 10 species
AUCUUGGCAAAGGGAGAAACAACUUGUGGUUGGAGCUUGGAGGAUGAGGAACCAACAAGUUCUGAGUCCUCAUGUCUUAUGCUUAGGCUGAUUCCAUUUCUUCCCUCAAAUUGUAAAUAUUUAUUUAGGUGUAAAGGAGAGGGCCUAUCUAAAGCAGACUGGUGUGUGAGUAGAGUUAUUUUCAUAGUGUGUCCUCUCCCAGUGAUUUAUGUUUCCUAGAAUAUUGAUGAAAAAUGGAUGAGCUCCCGCAACAUCUCCUGCCACUCUCCCCCUCACAUAUUGGACUACAGACAUUCUGGCCUUCUUCAGUUCAUUCUUUAGUAUGAUAUGCUGUUCUUUCUUCCUGAAUUGUUCUUCUAAUCUUUCUUUGAAUGAAUGUUUUUAUUCCCUUUCAAGUCUUACCUUAGAAGUAAGUCCUCUCUUCAGAAGGGUCUUACUUAUCACCCUAUCUAAAGUAGGUUCCACUCCUCUCAUCCCAUAUUGCAAUACUUCAUUUGGUGGACUCAUAGCUUAUAAUAAUUGAAUCAUUUAUUGAUUAUUGUCCUCACUUAGACUAUAAAUUCCAUGAGACAGUGCUCAUGGUUAUAUUGUUUACUGAAUUGAUUCUACCUAAGUGUCUAUCAACAGAGAAAUGGAUGUUUGGAUAGUGCUAUUGUCCUAUUGCCAUUGUGACAAGGGCUCAGAUAAACAUGCAAGUGCACAUAUUCAUGUACUGAUUUCUUUUUCCUUUGGAUAAAUACUCAGAAGUAGGAUUGCUGGAUUGUAUGGUAGUUCUAUUUUUUGGUUUUUAAAGAAAUCGUCAUACUAUUUUUCAUAGUGGUUGUACUAAUUUACCUUCCCAUCAACAGUGUUUAAGAGUUUCCUUUUCUCUGCAUUCUCACCAGAAUCUGAUAUUUUUCAUCUUUUUAAUGACAGCCAUUCUAACUGGAGUAAGAUGAUAUCUCAUUGUGGUUUCCAUUUGCAUUUCUCUGAUGCAUAGUGAUGUUGGGUAUUUUUUCAUAUACCAUUUGUAUAUGGCCAUUUGUGUGCCUUACUUUCAGAAAUAUCUGUUCAUAUCCUUUGCCCACUUUUUAAUAUGAUUAUUUGUGGGGUUUUUUUUGGUUGUUGAAUUGUUUGAGUUCCUUGAUAUUCUGGAUAUUAAUGCCUUGUUGGAUGAAUAGCUUACAAAUAUUUUCUCCCAUUUUACAGGUUGUCUUUUCACUCUCUUGGUUGUUUCUUUUGAUAUGCAGAAGCUUUUUGGUUUAAUAUGCUACCAUUUGUCUAUUUUAGUUUUUGUUGCCUGUGAUUUUGAGGUCUUAGGUGUAAGAUCUUUGCCCGGACCAAUGUACUGAAGAGUUUUCCCUCUGUUUUCUUCUAGUAGUUUUAUAGUUUUAAGUGUUUAAGUCUAUAAUGUACCUUGAAUUAAUAUGUGAUGUAGUGAAGAUAGGGGCUUAGAUAGAAGAUACCUAUAUUCUUCUGCAUGUAGAUAUCCAAAUUUCCCAUCACCAUUAAUUGAAGAUACUGUCAUUUCCCCAAUGGAUGUUCUUGGCACAUUUGUCAAAAAUCAGUAGGCUGUAAAUACAUGGAUUUAUUUCUGGAUUCUCUAUUUUUUUUUUUCUUUCCUGAGAGAGAGUCUUGCUCUGUUGCCCAGGCUGGAGUACAGAGGCAAAUCUCAGCUCACUGCAACCUUCGUCUCAUAGGUUUAAGCGAUUCUCCUGCCUCUCCCUCCUGAGUAGCUGGGAUUACAGGUGCAUACCACCAUGCCUGGCUAAUUUUUUGUAUUUUUAGUAGAGACGGGUUUUUGCCACGUUGGCCAGACUGAGCUCAAACUCCUGGCCUUAAGUGAUCUGCCUGCCUCGGGUUCCCAAAGUUCUGGGAUUACAGGCAUGAGCCAUCGCACCUGGCCUGGAUUCUCCAUUCUAUUCCAUUAGUCUAUGUAACUGUUUUUAUACUAAUACUAUGCUGUUUUAGUUAAAGUCUUGUAAUAUAUAUUAAAAUCAGGUAAGGUGAUGCCCCUAGCUUUGUUCUUUUUGUUCAUGUUGCUUUGGUUUUUGGGCUCUUACUUGGCCCCAUGAAAAUUUUAGGAUUGUUUUUUCUAAUUCUGUGAAAAAUGACAUUGGUAUUUUGAUAGGGAUUCCAUUGAAACUGUUGAUUGCU